GACGAACGCUGGCGGCGUGCUUAACACAUGCAAGUCGAACGGUAAGGCCCUUCGGGGUACACGAGUGGCGAACGGGUGAGUAACACGUGGGUGAUCUGCCCUGCACUUCGGGAUAAGCCUGGGAAACUGGGUCUAAUACCGGAUAGGACUCCUGGCUUCAUGGUUGGGGGUGGAAAGCUUUUGCGGUGUGGGAUGGGCCCGCGGCCUAUCAGCUUGUUGGUGGGGUAAUGGCCUACCAAGGCGAAGCCGGGUAGCCGGCCUGAGAGGGUGACCGGUCGCACUGGGACUGAGAUACUGCCCAGACUCCUACGGGAGGCAGCAGUGGGGAAUAUUGCACAAUGGGCGCAAGCCUGAUGCAGCGACGCCGCGUGAGGGAUGACGGCCUUCAGGUUGUAAACCUCUUUCAGCUAUGACGAAGCGCAAGUGACGGUAGUAGCAGAAGAAGGACCGGCCAACUACGUGCCAGCCGCCGCGGUAA
rnacentral:rRNA from 1 species